AACUACGCACUGGCCGCUUAAGGCCUAAGCCCCGAAAUCGCUUGUGUCCGUGCUCGCGACGUAGGGUCAUUAUCACGGAAUCGCCGGGAGUGGCUGCCUGCCAGCACCCGGUUAACCCAUAGCAGGCUGGUCCCCGGAUGCGCUUUGCGCGCCGUGCUGUUCGGAGACGAGAUCCAACGGAGCGCUAAGCAUGUAGUGCCGGGGAUGGAGUGCCUUCGGACGGGGGUUCAAUUCCCCCCACCUCCACCA
rnacentral:tmRNA from 1 species